UUGCCAGCUGUUGAUGGGGUACAAGUAGUUAUUUUCAUAGUAAUUACUUUCUUUCUACGCUGCUUCGUCCCCUAUCCAAGUCCACCUUGACUUCCAAAGAACCCAUCGAUUCAUAAACCCUAUAGAUUUUGGGUGUUUUCCCCAAAUCAACUGCAAUUUUGUGAGAAAGUAAGAAUUGAGCGAUGGCCGAAUUCCUAUGGACUUUUGCUGCGGAAGAAAUGUUGAAGAAGGUUGUCAAACUUGCAGCUGAGCAAACUGGGUUGGCAUGGAGCUUGGAGAAGGAGCUAUCAGAGUUGACAGAAUGGCUACUGAAGGCAGAAACCUUCUUGCGUGAUAUACACACAACAACAUUACAUCAGGAUUCAGUGAAACUGUGGGUGGAUAAACUUCAAAAUCUUGCCAAUCAAGCAGAUGAUGUAUUAGACAAGCUUGUUUAUGAAGAUCUUCGAGGAAAGGUAGCAAAAGAAAAAAUGAAAAAAGGUACAUGCUUUUGUUUCUGCUUGCAGUAAUGCUUUCCUGUUUCGUGCAAAGAUGGCAAAAAGAAUGAAAAGCAUUAAGGACUUGUUACGUAAACAUUAUUGUGAAGCAGGUCCUUUAGGACUCGUUAGCAAUGAAUCUACAGAGCUAGAGACUGAAAUUAGCCAACUUCGAGAGACGAUCUCAGAGUUGGAUGAUUUUGAAAUAGUGGGAAGGAAUGAUGAAGUUUCAAGCAUAGUGAAACAAGUGAUCGAUGCAAAAAAGAAGCAUACUACAUCUAUCCUACCCAUCGUGGGUAUGAGUGGAUUGGGAAAAACAACUCUGGCAAAAUUGGUAUUUAAUCACCCUAAGAUCAAACAAUAUUUUGAUGAAACUAUAUGGGUCUGUGUGUCUGAACCUUUUCUUAUCAAUAAGAUUUUGGGAACAAUCUUAGUAACUUUAAAAGGUACUUCCAGUGGCUUGGACAAUAAGGAGGCUUUGCUUCGUGAGCUUAAAUAUGAGAUGCGCCACAAAAGUUAUUUUCUUGUACUUGAUGAUGUUUGGAAUGAAAAUCCUUCUUUGUGGGAUGAAUUGAAGAAUUGUUUGAUGAAGAUCACUGAAAAAUCUGAAAAUAGUUUCGUUGUGACUACAAGGAGUGUUGAAGUUGCAAGAAUCAUGGAAACGCUUCCAACUCAUCAUUUAAGCAAAUUAUCUGACGAUCAAUGUUGGUCUUUAUUUCAAGCGAGUUCAAAUGCAAUUGGACUACCAAUGACUUCAAGUUUGACACUUCUUCGAGAAGAGUUGGUUAAAAAAAUUGGUGGAAUACCGUUAGUUGCAAGAGUUUUGGGAAGGGCAUUAAAAUUUCAAGGAAACUAUGAUAGAUGGGUGACCAUGUUGGAAAGUGAAAUAAGAACACCAUUUGAAGAAGAAAAUUUUGUGUUAUACGUUUUAAAAUUAAGUGUAGAACGUCUACCUUCCUGUUCUUUGAAACAAUGUUUUGCCUACUGUUCAAAUUUUUCCAAAGAUUUUGAAUUUGAAAAAGAACAAUUGAUUCAAAUGUGGAUAGCACAAGGAUUUAUUCAUCUAAAGAAAGGAAGAAGCAACAAAACAUUGGAAGAUGAAGGAGAUAUGUACUUCAAGAUAUUGUUAUCUCGUUGCUUAUUUCAAGAUGUGAACAAGGAUGAUAGAGGGAGAAUUAUAAGUUGUAAGAUGCAUGAUCUUAUACAUGACAUUGCAUGUGAUGUUUCAAAUAACAAAAGUUUUCAAUUAGAACAUAGCAAUGCAUUGCAAAUGAAACAUUGGACGAGUAAGACUAAGAAAUUUGCUAGGCAGGCACGCACUAUACUUUGUCACGAACUAAUUCCUUCUACAAUAGAGAAGAUGAUUUGUGAUAAAAUUUUGAACUUCGUUGGUUUGCGUGUUUUGGUGAUGAACUCGUGGGAUAUUUAUGAAUUACCUGAUUCGAUUCAUAAGUUAAUGCACUUGAGAUACCUCGACGUGUCCCAUUGUAGAUUGGAGAAGCUUCCAAAUUCUCUCUGUUUGCUUUAUCAUUUACAAACAUUAAGGAUUGAAGGCAAACAUAUUCAAGAGCUUCCGAAUAAUUUAAGAGAACUGGUUAGUUUAAGACAUUUUGUAUUUUCAAACGGACAUGUCGACUACAUACAAAUGCCUCCACAUUUGAGCCAAUUGACUCAACUUCAAACGUUGUCUAUAUUUGUAGCAGGAUCUAAAGAGGGUUGGAAGAUAACCGAACUCGGACCUCUAAAAAACCUAAAAGGUAGUUUGAAACUUACACAUUUGGAGCAUGUCAAGUGUAAAGAAGAAGCUGAAAGUGCAAACUUGGAUGAAAAGGAGAACUUACAUGGUCUAGAUUUCAUUUGGAGUUGCAAUUCUCAUAGAAAAGUCAACAAUCACAAUGAUUUGGAAGUGUUGAAAGGAUUUCGACCACAUGAACAUCUACAACAUUUGAAGAUUCGAUCCUUUCGAGGUAAAACAUUGCCUAACGAUAUUUUCAUUGAAAAUUUGGUAACAAUAACUCUAUUUCGUUGUCAAAAUUGUGAAAUGCUUCCAAUGCUUGGACAAUUGACCAACCUCGAGGAACUUCAUCUCUCUCAUUUAUAUUGUGUACAAAGUAUAGGAAAUGAAUUUUAUGGUAAUAAUUCCAACCAAAGGAUCAUUCUUUUCCCUAAGUUAAAGAAAUUUAUACUCGAACGCAUGGACUACCUAAAGCAAUGGGAAGAAGUGAGAGUGGGAUCAAAUGUUACAACUUUUCCUCAUCUCCAAGUAUUGAAAGUAUCUGAUUGUCCCAUGUUAUUGAACAUUCCAAAUAUGUUUGGGUUUUGUGAUGAGAAUGGUGUGCAAAACCUUAGAGUUGUUGAAAUUUUGGAAUGUUUCCAAUUGACCAACAUUCCAAAUGGGCUCCAACGUUGUCAUUCCAUUCAAGAUUUGAGAAUAAAGCAGUGUUGUUCCUGUUUUACUCUAAACUUGGAACAUAGGAACUUGUUGUCUUCUUUAAGGAUCAUGUUGCCUGAGAAGUUUCUUCAACUCACUAACUUGGAGGUGAAUGAAGUGAACAUUUUUGGAUGCCUCCAACAUUAUGGACCCCUUAACUUGUGUUCUUCUGCACAGCUUAGGCUUCCCAUUGGAUUGGUUAAUUCCUUGCAAGAUUUGUCGAUGCAAAACUUUGUUGGUAGCAUUGAAGCUUUGCCUCGAUGGUUGGAAAACCACACUUCUUUGCAGAAAUUGAGCCUUUCCUUCUGCAUAAAUUGUGGAAAUUGAAUGAUCUUUUCUUUUGUACAAUUUUGUUAAAUUUGCAACUAAUUCUAAUGUUUUCUUUUUAAUUUAGCAUAAGUGUAUUGUAAGAUUUAUUUUUGUUUUUUUUUUUUUUUUCAUUUAGCAAUGAGAGGAAAAAGAAACAAAAAGAAACAAGGAAAUGCAAGCUUCGGAAAAAAAAAAGUUCAAUCGACCUGAAAAAGAAGACGAAAAAAUUGUGAAGCUUAUGGGAUUUUUCAAGUAGUAAUAAUAAGGGCAAUUGUUUCAAAUAACAAAACAAUAGAAAAUAUUUUCAAAUAUAGCAAAAUAACAUUGUCUACCAAUGAUAGAUACUUAUAAACAUAUGUCAGUGUCAGUCUGACACGAAUCCUUAUUAAUGUCUAUCAUUGAUAAACAGUGAUAUUUUGCUACAUUUGUAAAUAAGUUGAUCUAUUUUGUUGUAUUUGAAAAUAACUCUAAUCAUAAUUGGUGUAGCUUUGCAUGGGUCGUAUAAGGAAAAAAGAAAAAGGCAAAAAAAAAAAAAGGGAAAGUUUGUGAAAAGUAGAAAGAGAAACAGAGAGGGAAAGAAAUUGAGAUAGAAAGAGAGAUUGGGAGAAAUCAAGAGGAAAAGAAGCACAAUGUCAUAAAUCCACUCAAAGGCAAGCACGUCGAAGCUACGUGGAGAAGGAGAGAAGAGAAGACGAGCCCAAAAAAUUUAAGUGGUUCGGCAAUAAAGGCCUAGAUUUUAAUCUCGAAGGGGUAAUACAAAGAAUUUUAUAGUAGCUUUUCAGCCUUUACAUAUGGAUGAAACAGAACAAUUCAAGAGCAAUUACAUCGACCUGACGUUGGUUAUUUUUGUAAUUUUGAAUGCAAAACAAAGAAGUUGUUUUCUACAAAAGAUUCCAGAAAGUAUACUUUUGGCAGACAAUUCCAAAAUCGCCCUCUGGAAAGAUCUUGAGAAAGGAACUGAAAGCCAAGCUCUCAGUCUCACCAACCUUUUAAAAGCCUCGUGGAGUGAGAGAGAGAGGGGGAGUUAUCAUAAACUUCCAUGGAAGAGACUGUGGUAGUAGGUCUGGAGGAGACACGGUUGAGGACGUUGGCCUCGAUUUUUAAGGAAAUUGACGACAUGGCAGGGCAGACGCCCAACGACGUCGGUUGAAUAGACGACGACGAGGGAAUUGUGCGUUCGAAGGAUCAUCAAGGGAAGACAUGAAUCUGAUAGGAAAAUUUUAUGAGGGGCACAUUUUUCAUUUGUUGAUCAUCUUCUGUUUUCUGUUGUAGUUAUACAAUUUUGUAAAUAAUGAUUUUCAUAUUUUAUAACCGUACAGUUGUUGCUUAUUUUGAACCUUUGGUUCUGCUUUAUCAAGUAACUGUGUAACAUAAAAAGAAUAUUUAUGUUAAUGCCUUCAAGCUCUAUGAACUUUCAAAUAUGAGUUCAAGAUGA